AUUGUUUAGUUGCUACUUUAGAGCCUGUUUCAUUUUUUAUUAAUUUUAUCAAAGGAUGAUGUUGAUGAUGAAAUGUCUUACAAUGAUCAUUUAGAGGUUUAUUUUGAACGACUGGCAAUUCCAGGAAUGAUGGAAUAAAACAUAUGAAGUAGAAGGACUGGAACCUACAGAAAAAAUACUUUAAGUUACCUACAAGUGAUCCUAGUCAGGUAUGAAUUGAUAAGAAAUGCCUGCACCUUACCUCCUUCCUAUCUUUCUCUUGCCUACAGAAAAUUAAAAGGCAAAGACAAUGGACAUCUACAUAUUCUUUAUUCAGAUCAACCAGUGGCUAGCAUUUGCCACCUUGCAUUUUCUUUCUCUUUCCGCAAAUGAAAACGGUAGCCUAAAGUGUUAGUUUCAACCAGAAAAUAACAGCUCUGAUUUCUCAUGACUCACACUCUUCUGAAAAGAUUCAGGAAGAGGCUUAGGAAGGCCAUGUUGUCUGUCUUCCUGAGACUACACCUACUGAAAGAAGUUCUCAAGUUCUGAUUGAGUUCUAAAAGGUUUAGAAGAUUGGAAUUCUUCAUAGUCAGAUCUAAGAUUCGUAGUUGAAAGGAUUUCCCCACUCAGUACUUUGAAUUAAUCAACCCUACUGCCUUCCGGCCUCCAAGGUUUCUGGGCACCAUGGCCCGGCACUGUCACAUUUUCCAAGGAACCUGCUGGAGCUCCUGUGGAAGCUUCUCCUUGGGCCGAUGAAGUCCCUUAGCUGGUAGGCCCUUCUUUAGUCACCACAGGAUGCCUGCCAUUCAUGAACAGGAAGGAGAGGAUGGGCUUUGAAUAAAAAACAGGAUCUGGAAAAUAUUUGUGAGGCCACUUGGACUUCAGUGUGAAAUAAACAUUUUCUGGCUUUCGGAGGUGUCCCUCUUGGUGGAACACAAUGUCCCCUCCUUAGGAAUCUUUCUUUGAUCCUUGAAGCUUGGUAACAACAUUAAAUAUGUAUAUCCCGGCCCGGAGCAGUGGCUCAUGCAUGUAAUUUCAGCACUUUGGGAGGCCGAGGAAGGUGGAUCCCCUGAGGUCAGGAGUUUGCCUGGCCAACAUGGUGAAACCCCGUCUUUACUAAAAAUAAAAAAAGUUAGCCAGGCGUGAUGGCUAGCACCUGUAAUCCCACCUACAUGGGAGGCUGAGGCAUGAGAAUCGCUUGAACCUUGGAGGCAGAGGUUGCAGUGAACUGAGGUCAUGCCACCGCACUCUGGCCUGGGCAACAAGAGUGAAACUUUGUCUCAA